GCCAGCGUGGCUUAGAGGAAAAGCACGACUUUCGUAAAGUCGGGAUCGUGGGUUCGAGUCCCACCGCUGGCUCUA
rnacentral:tRNA from 4 species